rnacentral:rRNA from 1 species
GAUGAACGCUGGCGGCGUGCCUAAUACAUGCAAGUCGAGCGAACAGACGAGGAGCUUGCUCCUCUGACGUUAGCGGCGGACGGGUGAGUAACACGUGGAUAACCUACCUAUAAGACUGGGAUAACUUCGGGAAACCGGAUCUAAUACCGGAUAAUAUCUUGAACCGCAUGGUUCAAUAGUGAAAGACGGUUUUGCUGUCACUUAUAGUUGGAUCCGCGCCGCAUUAGCUAGUUGGUAAGGUAACGGCUUACCAAGGCGACGAUGGGUAGCCGACCUCAGAGGGUGAUCGGCCACACUGGAACUGAGACACGGUCCAGACUCCUACGGGAGGCAGCAGUAGGGAAUCUUACGCAAUGGGCGAGAGCCUGACGGAGCAACGCCGCGUGAGUGAUGAAGGUCUUCGGAUCGUAAAACUCUGUUAUUAGGGAAGAACAAAUGUGUAAGUAACUAUGCACGUCUUGACGGUACCUAAUCAGAAAGCCACGGCUAACUACGUG